UCGAAUCUAUCGAAUCAAUUAUCGAUCGAUGUGGGAGAUCGAUUUGACUCAUAUUUUAAUUUACGCAUACUUUCUAUUUUUAUGUAAAAGUAAUUACAAUUUGUGAAACAUGAAUUGAUAAUAACUAGCUUUAUUGGUGUGAAAAACGCAAAGUUCAAAACGAUAUAUACCGCAGAAGCACUCAUCUUGACGCGUGAAGUUAGCGCUAGAGAUGAUCAUCUCUGACUCGAGCCAACUUAAUACAGUUCUCUGUUAUAGGGGUUCACAUGCCUUCCGGAACGGAACGGGGUUCACUUUCUUUCCGGAACGGAACGUGGGAUGUGGGACAGAUCAGCUCCGGAUCGAGUCUUCUUCGCAAAUCAUCUAAUAGAACGCAACGAAUGUGGAACGAUCCGCUCCCGCUAGAACAAGUGCUAUCGCCAAGUAUUUAAUCGAACGUGACAGAUGUGGAACGACCUGGCGCGGUAUAGAACGGCAUCGCAGAUCAUAAUUGGUAACGUACACAUCUCAGUAAGCAAGAAAUAAUUUAAGAUUUUGUAAAUCAUAAACAAAUAUUAAGAUUUUAUUUAAUUAUAACUCUAUCGUAGUUUAUUAUAUAUUAAAAUAAUAUUAAUAUGUAUCAAAUUUGUUAAUUCUUUUAUGAAUUGUGAUAAUGAUUUAUUUGAUGUUUUCAACAUCAUUUUGAUUUUAUAUAUAUAGCAUUCAAAUAGAAAACAACUAAAUUUAUCCGUGAACCAAUUUCUUUACAUCUUCUGUUAAAUUAAUAAGAUUAUGAACAUUAUGAUUUAUGAAUUCUUAUCCAACAAAUUCUUUUACAAAAUAUUAUAAUAAUUUAUUUGCCUAAAUACAUUUUGUUAUUAAAUUGUCACAUAUUAGUAUCCGAAUUGCGCAAUGUAAAGAUGGAAAAUGCAAAUAAUAAUGCUUUUAAAAUAUGGUUUCAUUAUCCAUGGACCAUAAUGUAACACAAAAUUCUAAAUUUAACCGCUUUCCAUCUGUCAUAUUCUGUUAUUAGUGUAGGUUUUCUUGUAAACUUAUGACGAGUUGAAUUGUAUAUUAAUUUUAGUUUUUUAUUAAUAGCAACGAUAUUUUUUUUAUUAGACAAGUUUCGUGAAUGCCUUUAAUCCAAAAAUUUAACAAACGUCUCAUAAUUUCUAAUAGUACAAAAUGCAUAGUCUAAAGGAAAAUUUGUGACAAGUCCAAUUUUUAAAUCACAUAAAAUAGACUUUUCUUUGAGAUAACCUUCAUUAGUCCGUAAAUAAAAUUCAUUUGUGCGUAGUUCUGACUUUAAUUCUGGGAAAGUCAUUUAAUUGUUUAUAAACAGACUUCGGUUAAAUAUUUAAUCCAGCUAUGAUAAGAGUUAAAAAUUUUACACACAUACAAAGGCAUUGCAAAGAAUCUCAUUAAUGUUUAUAUUAAUGAAAACUCGAUCAUUUAACUGUAAACAUUUUGUUUGAAAAAUUUACAUUUUUUAAAUAAAUUUAAAAAAAAUUAGAUUUUAGAAAAUAUAAUAGUUUUUAAGCUUAUUAUAUCUAUAACAAACAGCAAUUAGGAAUAACCUGAGUUGCUUUAAUUCACCAAUUUUUAAUAAAAUAAACCAAAAUUGACUGCCACUAGUUUUUGUUAGAAAAAAUCCGCAGGAAAAGAUUAUACAAAAAUUACUGAAAA
rnacentral:lncRNA from 1 species